GUGCUUGCUUGGGCAGCACAUAUACUAAAACAGGAACGACACAGAGAAGAUAACCACGGACCUGUGGAAAGAUGACAUGCAAACUCGUGAAGUGUUCCAUAUUUCU
ensembl:snRNA U6 U6 spliceosomal RNA